GGUGUUUGGGCGUUCAGGGCGAGGGUGGGCUCUGCAGAAAGCCCGGGGACGCCCGAGGACCACUUUUCUACCCUACUUCCCUCUGUGGGAGACGGUGAGAGUUAGAAACGUUCUGAGCGCUCCAGGAGCGCCGCGGGACUGGGCAGGCUGGAGAGGUAAAGCGCGGGGCGAGAACGCGAUGGAGUCGCUUGUGCGCUGCGCGCCAAGUUCGGGCAGCAGAGUCGGUCCUGCGGCGGAGCGCGCUCUGGAGCCUGGAGGGGAUCUAGGAGCCGCCCUUAGUUCUCCCGAGGCGGUCCUGGACAAAGAGAUGCCCGCCUGUAGCUGCGGUCCCCGCCUUCCUCUGAGAUCACACUCCCACGCAGGAGGCAGGGCCCGGGAUGAUUGGGACGCUCUAACAGGUUUCUCCAAUUCAGUACCUGUUUCCCUGAAUGCCUUCGUCUUGGGCGCCCGACUCUGGCCAGAGGUAGAAAUCCUGGACCUUUGGCCCCAUGCUUGACUCGGGACUCCUGUAAGCUCUUGGGGUCUUGAAAAGAAUGUUCUUGACUCCACUUCUCUCCUGUUUGGAUCCCAAGGGCUUCAGGUCUCUCCGUUAAAAUGGAGAACUUGGGGUGGGUACACAGAGGUUCCUGUGUCCCCUAAAAAAACCUCUUGAUCCCGGUCUCUGUUCUGAGCCCCCUUAAAGGCUCUGAGGCUGUCUUGGAGGGUAGAUCCUAAGACUGUUAAACUGUUACCUACCAUCACCCUAGAAGAUUCCUUCUACAUUUUGGAGGUGCUUCGCCCUUUUAAAUUGAUCCCCUAGAAUGUGGGUUGGGGUGAAGGACCAGAAGAUGGGAGGGUUUCUCCACCACAGAAGCUACCUGAGUGAACAGAGUCGAAAGGUGGGGUAAGUCUUCUGGACUCCACCGUGAUGCUUAAUUAUUAAGGGGUACUUGCUUGGUACUGUAGUUGGCAGGGACAGAUGCUAGGGUAGGUGCCUGUCCCCCCAAAAGAGUUUGUGGGUGAACUUUCGGAAGGCUAGCUCUAACUCCAGGGCUGCUUCCUCAGUUGAUCCACAGGUCUGAACUUCGCCUUCUGCCCUUUCGAAUUGUGAGGGAGACAGUUGCUGCACAUGGGAGACCUCUUCUAGGCCCCAGUGCUUGAGUCUAGAAGCUCUUGGUGGGCCUGUCUCGGAAUACAGACUCUGAACUUUCCCAAGCCACCCAAACAGCAGAGGGCACUGUGCAGUGGGAGUUGGCUGUUUGGUUUUGCUUUCUCUAGUUCCUGCCCCAGAGACCUAGGGCUUAUAUAACCACCACCUUGCCGGGCGUGGUGGCUCAUGCCUGUAAUCCAAGCGCUUUGGAGGCCGAGGCGGGUGGAUCACCUGAGGUCAGGAGUUCAAGACUAGCCUGACCAACAUGGUGAAACCCCAUCUUAAGAAAAAAAAAAAAGUAAUAACCACCACCUUAAGCCCUGCGUGAAUGAAGGAAAAUGAGGGCCUGGUGGUGGUUUGGCUUAAAGUAUGGGAAGGCCUGAAAGAGAACCGAGUCUUCUGGGCUUUGGCUAUUUUUUUUUUUUUUUUUUUUGAGGCAGAGUCUCACUCUGUCUCCUAGGCUGGAGAUCAGCUUACUGCAAUCUCCACCUCCUGGGUUUAAGUGAUUCUCCUGCCUUGGCCUGCUGAGUAGCUGGAUUACAGGCGCCCUCCUGUGAUCUCAUUCCUUGGUGAAAAUUUACUUUAGUCUAUAUUCUUAUCCCAUUCAAAAGUGAAGUGAGAUUCCCCUAAACAUCAAAAUUAGCCUAAUUUUGUAUUUUUAGUAGAGAUGGGGUUUCACAUGUUGGCCAGGUUAGUCUUGAACUCCUGACUUCAGAUGAUCUGCCUGCCUCGGCCUCUUAAAGUGCUGGGAUUACAGGUGUGAGCCACCUUGCCCGGUCAGGCUUCAAAACUUUGGACUAGGUAACACUAAGCUUCAGCCCUUAGGAAAGACAAGGGUGCUCCCAGGGAAGGCUUUUCAAGCCCCCAUCUUUUACUCCACACCACUCAGGGCAUGUUCCUCUGCUCACCCUCAUAGUGUGAGUGCAUCUCCAUCCACGUGGGCCAGGUGGGAGUUCAGAUGGGCAAUGGCUCCUGGGAGCUUUACUGCCUGGAACACAACAUCCAGCCUAGGGUACCAUGCCCAGCCACAAUGCCCUGGGGAGCAGUGAUGACUCUUUCAACACCUUCAGGGAGACCCAGGCUGGCAGACAUGUGUCCCAGGCUGUCUUUGUGGACCUGGAGCCUGCUGCCAUAGGUGAGUGGAUGGAGGAGUAGGGCCCCCUCCCCCAGGCCAUAGUUUUUGCUAGCGCCAAUGUCAGAUGGGAGCUCUGCUUAAGAGGAAAAUACUUGAGAUGAAAGCCGUCUCCUCCCAUGAACACUGAUGUCUGAAGUCUAUUGCUUUUGUCUAGACUCUGUCCUCGGAAGGGGUCCUGGGGGCUUCCUGUAUUGAGAGGAAGAUCAUUCCCACAGCUCUGCCUGGAGACUGCCAGAUUAUAAGUCAGUGUUCAGGCCGAGAAUGCAGACUGAGUGGAUGUAAAAGCAGAAAUUUAAAACUAGCUUUUCCCUGCCCUCAGGCUCUUGAGGGUGGCCCAUUGCCUAAGAAACAGGGAGCCGAGAACAUUCAUAAUGGCCCUCUGCUUGGCCUUAACUGAAAUAGGCCUCUUGUGGGAUGUGGGCCUGUGUGAACCGGCUGUUGCUGGCUUCCGGAGGCUUUCCUGCUUCCUCCCUUCUGCAGCUGGAUCUCCUCAGCUUCCAAGUCAUGGCAAUCCUACCCCUCCCCCAUUUUUAAAAGCUGUUAUUUUAGAUGUUAAACACUGGACUGGGUUUCUUCGUUCGUCUGUAUUCCUUUUCUCAUUCCUUGGUGAAAAUUUACAUUAGUCUAUAUUCGAAAAUGAAGUGAGCUUCCUGUAAACACCACUCUGAUUCCUCACCCAGCAAAAUGAAAUGGCUGUGAUCAGAGGGAAAGGGCCACCAAAGGUACCGCCUGCUCUCCCCAUCCCAGGCCCAGGCAGGACCCAGCCUUAGAAGUGGGCCUCUGGGAUGCUUUGUGUCAUCACUCUGUUGAGCAGUUUGGAGCAGUAAAGGUUCUGGUGUCUGGUGUUCCCUUGGGGAAUGAGACCAGCUUGUUUUUAACCUUUGUUCUUUCUCACCCUCAAGAUGCGGUAAGAACUGACUUUUUUUUUUGAGACGGAGUUUUACUCUGUUGCCCAGGCUGGAGUCCAAUGGCACGAUCUCAGCUCACUGCAACCUCCGCCUCCCAGGUUCAAGUGAUUCUCCUGCCUCAGCUUCCCAAGUAGCUGGGGUUGCAGGUGCCCGCCACCAUGCCCCGCUAUUUUUUUUGUAUUUUUAGUAGAGACAGGGUUUCCUUACUUCCUUCACCAGGUUGACCAGACUGGUCUGGAACUCCUGACCUUAGGUGAUCCACCCACCUCUGCCUCCCAAAGUGCUGGGAUUACAGGUGUGACCCACUGCACCCAGCUCAAGAACUGGCAUUUAUAGGCAGCUCUUCCACCCUGAGCAGCUGAUAUCUGGUAUGGAAGAUGCUGCCAACAACUAUGCCUGUGGCCAGUACACUGCAGGGAAGGAGAUCAUCAAUUUGGUGCUAGAGCGAAUCCGACAACUGGUGAGCAGGCCUCGAGGACCUACAGGAGGUCAUUGCAUCCUUAGCCUUUUCCCUGGCUGAGAGGCAGCCACAGCCUGUGCUGGUACCUGACAUCAUUCCUCCAGCCUGUCAGUCCACUCAGCUUCCCCUAGGGGGAUGUGUGUUUUCCCAACCUGGAUGCGGAUCUAGGGUUGCAAGCCUGAAUAACUUGCUCUGCCUUGAGUUUGUGGACUCAAGCUUCUGUCCUGGUGCUUCCUCACUUUGCCAGGUCUGUCUGAUCCAAGCCUUCUUUGACCUUUGGUCGAUCUCCACAGCAGCUCAGCUUGUGGUUCUUAGACUCUUACGCAGAUCUGUCCAGGUAGGAGGGGCUCCUGCCUAGCGCUCAGCCAUUUCUCCAGUUGACCCAUCCCCUGUUUGAGGCACUGAGAACCAUGAGUGAGGCUACCUGUGAGCCAGGACUUUGGCUCUGUUGCUGUAAAGGAUUGUCUGGAUAUCCCCUCUGCUGCUCAGUAGACACUGAGGACUUGGAAGGGACUUGAGGACUGGGAGUCUGUGCCCCCUUCUUCAAGAAUGAAAAGAAAAUGCCUCCUAGAGCUAGAAUUCUCUUAUACGGUCACUACCCAUGUGUCUGGUAUAGACUGAUGCUUUUCUUACCCAAGGAACACCUGUACCAGAAUCACCUGGGGUACUUGUUAAAGCUUCGGGUUCCUGUGUUCCAGUCUCAGGUGACACCUGGUAAUCUGUCUGUUCUUUUCCUUUUUUUUUUAACUGAAACUACCUUUGCAUGUAUGUUCAGUAAGUUGCCACCACCACUCCCACUCCGCUGUAACUAGAUGGCAGAGCAACAUAACUGAGAGGGCCUGGCUCUGACUGCAAAUCUUAUAUCCUGUCUCAUCCCUACCAUUGCAUAGACACAGCACUGUCUUUCCGGGUCAUCUUUUCCCCAGGAACUCCAACCCUCUUGUAGAUAAUCUUUUUUUUGAGAGAGUCGCUCUGUUGCCUAGGCUGGAGUGUCACUAGUGGUGUGGUCACAGCUCACUGCAACCUCCGCCUCCUGGGCUCAAGCGAUCCUCCCACCUCAGCCUCCUGAGUAGCUGGGACUGCAGGUAUACACCACACGCAGAUAAUUUUUGUAUUUUUUUGUAGAGAUGAGGUUUUGCCAUCCCAGCACUUUGGACAGCUGAGGUCCACCACACCUGGACAGGUGAUCUUUUUUCACCUCUAUGGAGGUGAAGCAAAAGGACAUGAGGGAACUUUCUGAGGGUGAUGAGAAUUUCUUUAUCUCUGUUGGUUUGGUUAUAUAGGUGUCUAUGCAUGUCAAAUCAUUCACCGUACAUCCAAUAAGAUGCACACGCUUUAUACUUCAAAGUCUUCCUAAAAUACAGAAGUUAAUGCAAGUGUAGUUGGGUAAUAGUAGCUUUCAACACAGAAGUUUCCUCAGGAAAAGAGGGUUGGAGCAGGUGACGUGCCAUCUGCAUCCUUAACGAUGUUAUCUCCUACUCCAGACAGAUGAGUGGGGCUUCAGGGCUUCCUGCUCUUCCAUAGCUUUAGGGGUGGCACUGGCUCAGGCUUGACCUCCCUGCUGAUGGAGCAGCUUUCUGUGGACUGUGGCAAGAAGCUCAAGUUGGAGUUUGCUAUUUACCUGGUCCCUCAAGUGUCCCCGGCAGUUGUAGAACCCUAUAACUUCAUCUUGACCACCCACACCACCCUGGGGCACUCAGAUUGCCUUCAUGGUGGACAAUGAAGCCAUCUCUGAUAUCUGCUGCCACAACCUGGACCUCAAGUGCCCUACCUGUGCCAACUUCAACCGGCUCAUCAGCCAGAUUGUGUCCUCCAUCACUGCUUCCUUGCAUUUUGACGGUGCCCUCACUGUGGACCUCACAGAGUUCCAGACUCAUCUGGUGCCCUACCCUUGUAUCCACUUUCCCCUGGUGACCUGCUCGCCCAGUAUCUCAGCUGAGAAGGUCAACCAUGAGUGGCUGUCAGUGGCAGAGAUCACCAGUGCCUACUUUGGACCCUGCAAUCAGACGGUCAAGUGUGACUCUCGCCAAGGCAAGUACAUGGCCUGCCACAUGCUCUGCUGUGGAGAGGUGGUCCCCAAGAAUGUGAAUGCCGCCAUCACCACCAUUAAAACCAAGUGGAAUAUCCAGUUUGUGGACUGGUGUCCCACAGGUUUCAAGGUUGGUAUCAACUACCAGCCCCCUACAGUGGUGCCUGGGGGUACCCUAGCCAAGGUUCGGCGGGAGGUCUGCAUGCUGAGCAGUACCACAGCCGUCACCGAGGCCUGGGCCCACCUGGACCACAAGUUUGACCUGAAGUAUGCCAAUCAGGCAUUCAUGCAUUGGUAUGAGGGCAAGGGCUUGGAGGAAAGGGAGCUGUCUGAGGCAUGAGGACCUGGCUGCCCUGGAGAAGGAUUAUGAAGUAGGCACAGAGUCUUUGCGAGGAUGAGCAUGAGUUCUAGGGGUCCUGGCACCUGUAACACCUGGUCUCUCGUACCUCAGUUGUGUGUGUAUAGCUGUUUCCUGAAUCCCUACUAAUACUGUUGAUGUUGCAAGUGAUCUGGAACUGUGUGGAAUUCUGCCCAGGCAGUGGGCCAUCUUUAAGAUUCCCAGCUUCCUUUGAUGUCUUUUUUUUUUUUUUCUUUAGAUGGAGUUUUACUCUUUCACCAGGCUGGAGUGCAGUGGCACGAUCUCAGCUCACUGCAACCUCUGUCUCCUGGGUUCAAGCGAUUCCCCAGCCUCAGUCUCCUGAGUUGUUGGGAUUACAGGUAUGCGCCACCAUGCCUGGCUAAUUUUUUUUUUUCCGUAUUUUAGUAGAGACGGGGAUUCACUAUGGCCAGGAUGGUCUCUGUCUUGAUCUCCUGACCUCAUGAUCUGCCUGUCUCAGCCUCCCAAAGUUCUGGGAUUACAGGCGUGAGCCACCGCGCCCAGCCCCUUUGAUGUCUUUCUAAGUGAAAGGGCAAGAUGGCCUCUGCUGCUAGGGCCUCCAGCCAGGGCGUGUCUAGAGAAGGGUUGGCACUGCUUUUCUCCUGUGUGAGUGGCCCACCCUGACAGCUCUUUGCCAGCUCAGCACCCAGGCUGUAGAACUUCGACUUCACAGGGGUCCCUAUUUGUGCCCCCUUGUUGCCAGCCCACCCCGAGGAAGAGUAAGGCUUCUAGAGGUUUUGAUGAAAGCUGCCAAGGGUUUAUCUGCCCCCAGUAUUCUGGGACAGAAACUGCUGGGCUCCAGUGCCGCAAGGAAUCAAGCACUUCUCACUCUCCUCCUGCCUGAUGGCCAACAGAGGGCGGUAGAGGUUGUCUGCACAGGCCUGCCUGCAGCAGCCAUCUUAGACUUGAGGGCUCUACCCUGAUGUCUUAAAAGGCAAGGUCCAAGAAACAGGAUUAAAAACAAAAAAAGCAGUGGUCUCCAGCCUGGGACUAUGAACAUGUGAAACAACUUCCUUUAAGGCACAGGGUCUCACUGUGUUGCACGGGCUGGAGUGUCAUGGUUAUUGUCACACAUGUGGUCACAGCAUGCUACAGCCUUGGAGUCCUGGGCUCAAGCCAUCCUCCUGCCUCAGCCUCCCCAUGUGGUGGACUAUAGGCACCACCUCAUACCUGGCUAUGAAGUAAAUUUUAAAAGUACCUGUGAGACUCGUAGGCAAGAAGUCUUAUGUCUUAUU